AACUAAGUUUUUUCUUGGUAUAAGCUUUCGUGUACAUGCACACUUCUUCAGAUACCUGAAGAUACCUGAAGAUAUCUGAAGAAGUGUGCAUGCACAUGAAAGCUUAUACCAAGAACAAACUUAGUUGG
rnacentral:miRNA from 1 species